GGACUGUGACGACUUAUAUCUAUUGGUCUCGUUCGUCGUAAUGGUGUUUAAAACCACCUUGCCGACCAUUCUGAUAUAUCACCACCCAUAAACUGAGUCC
rfam:Solanum lycopersicum cultivar Heinz 1706 chromosome 12, whole genome shotgun sequence.